UUUUUGCGUACCGUAUACGUGUUACUUUUGUAAUGUAGGAAACAUUUUGUUUUUAAAUGUCAUGUGGUCUAUCAGUGUACAAUUCAUUGUAUGCCUGUAAUGCACCUAGUACCUACUACCUGAGUACUCCAGCCCAAUUAGGGGAAGGCAGAUCACCAAGAAAUGUAACACAGUCUGUAUAAAGAAUUAGAAAGAACUGGUUGUCUUCUUGGGCGGUGUUGCAGGGUUCAUCUUUACUUUUUACCAAAACUCAAGGAAGUAGCACAAGUUGGUUCGGCAGUAAUCAGUCCAAACCAGAGUUCACAGUGGACCUCAAGGGGGCAACAAUUGAGAUGGCUUCAAAGGAUAAAUCCAGCAAAAAGAAUGUAUUUGAGCUGAAAACUCGUCAAGGAACAGAACUGCUAAUUCAGUCUGACAAUGACACUGUUAUUAAUGAUUGGUUUAAAGUUCUUAGUAGUACAAUCAAUAAUCAGGCAGUAGAAACUGAUGAAGGAAUUGAAGAGGAGAUACCGGAUUCACCAGGAAUAGAAAAGCAUGAUAAAGAAAAGGAACAAAAGGAUCCCAAAAAGCUUCGUUCCUUUAAAGUAUCUAGCAUAGAUUCUUCAGAACAGAAAAAAACCAAGAAAAACUUAAAGAAGUUUCUUACACGACGCCCCACUUUGCAAGCUGUUCGUGAAAAAGGUUAUAUUAAAGAUCAGGUAUUUGGAUCCAAUCUCGCUAAUCUGUGUCAGAGAGAGAAUGGCACAGUACCAAAGUUUGUGAAGUUAUGUAUUGAACAUGUUGAAGAACAUGGUUUGGACGUUGAUGGGAUAUACAGAGUAAGUGGCAACCUCGCAGUGAUCCAGAAACUAAGGUUUGCAGUCAAUCACGAUGAGAAAUUGGACUUGAAUGACAGUAAAUGGGAAGAUAUUCAUGUCAUUACUGGAGCCCUCAAAAUGUUUUUUCGAGAAUUACCAGAACCUCUUUUUACAUUUAAUCAUUUUAAUGAUUUUGUUAAUGCAAUUAAGCAAGAACCAAGACAGCGAGUCGCUGCUGUUAAGGACCUAAUCAGACAGUUGCCAAAGCCAAACCAAGAUACAAUGCAGAUUCUUUUCCGACAUCUCAGAAGAGUUAUAGAAAAUGGAGAGAAAAAUCGAAUGACCUAUCAGAGUAUAGCAAUUGUUUUUGGUCCCACUCUAUUAAAACCAGAAAAAGAGACUGGUAAUAUAGCAGUUCAUACUGUGUACCAGAAUCAGAUUGUAGAAUUAAUUCUUCUGGAACUGAGUUCCAUCUUCGGACGUUGAUUCUUACUGAAGACAACCUGUGGAAUAGAAGCUGGAUUCCAUCAGAUUUCAAAUGUUUAUACACAAUGUAUUUUAUUUUUUGGACCAAGCAGUGACUCUUUGAUUUUGCACUUUUUUUUUGAGGGAUCAGAAGGGAAGGGGAGAGUCAAGAUGUGUGUUAGGCCCUCAUAUUUGCUGCUUUGUUGCAAGUUGAUAUAACUGCGUGUAAUUACGAAUUCAUUUUAUCCUGAAUGUUUGCAUUUCAUACUCUGAAUUUCAGUAAAAAUCAAAACUUAAGAUUCUAACCAGUCAUAUACACUGGAUAAUUUGGUAAGAAAACUGUAUUUUUUUUCCCUGAAAUUGGAUAAUGUACUUUCUUCUCAAGAUUCAUGACCCGAUAGAACAAUACUUACUAUCAGUUAUGUUGAAAAGGCUCUUGGGCAUUUUAAACAAAAUGAAGUAUAUCCAUUUUGAAACCUGUAUAUUUCUUUUUCGGGGUUUCUGCAUGCAGUGGCAGUCUUAAGUGCCAAAAUUCAUUAUAACCCCAAAAUAACCCCUUGACGAAGGCUUGCUGUCUUUUACUGUGUUACACAGCAUCCUUACUGGAUAUCUUAGUUGCUUAUUUGGGCAGCACACUAAUAUUACUUAAAACACUGUGAUAUACUGGAGUUUUAGUUAGCUUAAGUCAGUUCAGGGCAUUUUAGGGCUGUCUUGCUAUACUGAAUUGUAGCUAACAAUCCUAUCUAGUACCAUACUGAGUUACUGGUAUGACCCUGUGGAAACACACAUUAUUUUAUGUAAAUAUAGGCUAAAGACUUAAUGUCCUUUAGCUUGUGUAUAUAAUUGUGUUGUAUAGUCUCAGAGUACAUUCUAACCCUACAUUUCUAAUCAUAUUAUUGGUAAUCUUUUCUGUGAAUAUUAGGUUUCCUCCAGAAAUAGUCCGUUAUUUGGGAAAGUUAACUGUGUGCACUUUUAGAUAUUAACUACAUUUACAGGCAAAUCACUGUAAUGAGAAUGGUACUGGAAAAAUACUGAAUAGACUUGCUAAAUGGCAUAUGCACUACAAGAGGAACCUUUUAGGUUAUUUAAUAUGUACAGAAAACAGUAGAAAAAAUUUAUUACAGAAUUCUAGUUCCAGUAUGAAUAGUGGAAACCCAUCUGUAAAUUAGAUGGAUGUUGGAUGGAAAAUGACAUUGCUAAAUUGGAGAAUUUCUUUUUACCUACUAAUGUAGAUUGCUUUGUAUAAUAAAACACAGGGUUUGGAAGGUUUUGUUACAGGGAGCAUGGUCUGUUGAAGAUUUUUAAAAUGUAUUUUUCUAGAUUAACUUCUGUACAUGAAAUGUCUAAUAAAACUAUAAGAGGUUUAGAGAUUUUUCCAUUGGAAAUGUGCAUUUUGGUUUCUAAUUUUUUUGUUUUUUCAUUUACUGGCAUACUCUUACACCUCAUUUUUAAAAAUCAACUGAAUCCAAUAUUUCCUGUGGCAAAUAACACUUUCCUCAUUUCAUACCUUUUCUCCUCUCUUCCAUGCCAACAUUUCUCCACCCACAACGUACACUUUUUAUUUCUCCAUCAAUAUUUGAAAGCGAGUGAUUUGUGACCAGGAUUUUUUUUUCUUAGGGUUGCAUUUAUAAUUUACAGAUUGCCUUCCUUGGGAACAAGUAUUUUUUUGUAUGAGCUGUCUAAAAACCUCUCACCUGAAUUUUGUGGUAGAAAUUCUGUGUUUGUUGUUGUGAGCGUGUUAAAUUGAUAACAAACCAAACUACUUGAUAGCUAAAGCAGAUUGUUUUGGGUGGGGAGAAAAAGCCCUAAAUCAGAAUGUUUAUAUUUGCCUAAAGAUGUCCUUAAUAACACAAUAUGCUUUAGAUCUUGCUUAUAUAGUGAUUGUAUACCAGGAAAACAAUUAGACUCAAAUCAGUGAUGUUCUUGCUCUUGGUGUUCAUGAACAUAUAUCAAAGAUUAAAA
rnacentral:sRNA from 1 species